rnacentral:rRNA from 1 species
GAGUUUGAUCCUGGCUCAGAACGAACGCUGGCGGCGUGCCUAACACAUGCAAGUUGAACGUGAUCCAGAGCUUGCUCUGGUGAAAGUGGCGCACGGGUGAGUAACGCGUGGAUAACCUACCCUGGUAUCCGGGAUAACAUUCCGAAAGGGGUGCUAAUACCGGAUAAGCCCACGGGCUCUUUGGAGCUUGCGGGAAAAGGUGGCCUCUAUUUAUAAGCUACUAUAUCAGGAUGGGUCCGCGUACCAUUAGCUAGUUGGCGGUGUAACGGACCACCAAGGCGACGAUGGUUAGCUGGUCUGAGAGGAUGAUCAGCCACACUGGAACUGAGACACGGUCCAGACUCCUACGGGAGGCAGCAGUGGGGAAUUUUGCGCAAUGGGGGAAACCCUGACGCAGCAACGCCGCGUGAGUGAUGAAGGCCUUUGGGUCGUAAAGCUCUGUCAGAGGGGAAGAAAUGAUAUAGUGCUAAUACCACUUUAUCUUGACGGUACCCUCAAAGGAAGCACCGGCUAACUCCGUGCCAGCAGCCGCGGUAAUAC